rnacentral:rRNA from 2 species
AGCUCCAAUAGCGUAUAUUAAAGUUGUUGCAGUUAAAAAGCUCGUAGUUGGAUUUCUGGUGGGAGCGAUCGGUCUGGCGCUUAGCGCGAGUACUUGCAUCGUCUCCGGCCAUCCUUGGGGAGAGUUUGUCUGGCAUUAAGUUGUCGGGCAGAGGAUCCUCAUCGUUUACUGUGAAAAAAUUAGAGUGUUCAAAGCAGGCUUAUGCCGUUGAAUAUAUUAGCAUGGAAUAAUAAGAUAGGACUUUGGUACUAUUUUGUUGGUUUGCGCACCAAAGUAAUGAUUAAUAGGGACAGUUGGGGGUAUUCGUAUUCCGUUGUCAGAGGUGAAAUUCUUGGAUUUACGGAAGACGAACUACUGCGAAAGCAUUUACCAAGGAUGUUUUCAUUA